ACCCUCCUGUUUCCCUUUCCCAUCGGAUCUUGACACUGAUCUUGGUGGUCCUUAACGAGGAAGAGUACACUGAAGCUGGCCUCACAGCGAUGCAGCUUGGUGUAGAGCAUCAGGCCAGAUUCGAACAUGC
rnacentral:snoRNA from 14 species